GACGAACGCUGGCGGCGUGCCUAAUACAUGCAAGUAGAACGCACAGUUUAUACCGUAGCUUGCUACACCAUAGACUGUGAGUUGCGAACGGGUGAGUAACGCGUAGGUAACCUGCCUGGUAGCGGGGGAUAACUAUUGGAAACGAUAGCUAAUACCGCAUAAUAUUGAUUAUUGCAUGAUAAUUGAUUGAAAGAUGCUAUUGCAUCACUACCAGAUGGACCUGCGUUGUAUUAGCUAGUAGGUGAGGUAACGGCUCACCUAGGCGACGGUACAUAGCCGACCUUGGAAGGUGAUCGGCCACACUGGGAACGGGAAACCGCCCAGAAUCCUUCGGGAGGCAGCAGUAGGGGAUCUUCGGCAAUGGACGAAAGUCUGACCGAGCAACGCCGGGUGAGUGAAGAAGGUUUUCGGAUCGUAAAGCUCUGUUGUAAGAGAAGAACGGGUGUGAGAGUGGAAAGUUCACACUGUGACGGUAUCUUACCAGAAAGGGACGGCUAACUACGUG
rnacentral:rRNA from 1 species